UACGUAGGUGGCAAGCGUUAUCCGGAUGUAUUGGGCGUAAAGGGAACGCAGGCGGUCUUUUAAGUCUGAUGCGAAAGCCUUCGGCUUAACCGGAGUAGUGCAUUGGAAACUGGGAGACUUGAGUGCAGAAGAGGAGAGUGGAACUCCAUGUGUAGCGGUGAAAUGCGUAGAUAUAUGGAAGAACACCAGUGGCGAAAGCGGCUCUCUGGUCUGUAACUGACGCUGAGGUUCGAAAGCGUGGGUAGCAAACAGG
rnacentral:rRNA from 1 species